rnacentral:rRNA from 1 species
CCCGCUGAACUUAAGCAUAUCAAUAAGCGGAGGAAAAGAAACUAACAAGGAUUCCCUUAGUAACUGCGAGUGAAGUGGGAAAAGCUCAAAUUUAGAAUCUGGCAGUCACUUGGCUGUCCGAGUUGUAAUCUAGAGAAGUGUUGCCCGUGUGUGGACCAUGUACAAGUCUCCUGGAAUGGAGCAUCACAGAGGGUGAGAAUCCUGUCUUUGACAUGGACUGCCAGUGCUUUUGUGGUAUGCUCUCAAAGAGUCGAGUUGUUUGGGAAUGCAGCUCAAAAUGGGUGGUAAAUGCCAUCUAAAGCUAAAUAUUGGUGAGAGACCGAUAGCGACCAAGUACCGUGAGGGAAAGAUGAAAAGAACUUUGGAAAGAGAGUUAAACAGUACGUGAAAUUGCUGAAAGGGAAACGCUUGAAGUCAGUCACGUUGACUUGUAAUCAGCUCUGCUUUUGCUGGGUGUACUUUCUUGUCAAUGGGUCAGCAUCAAUUUUGACCAUUGGAUAAAGUUGCUGGGAAUGUAGCAUCCUUUUGGAUGUGUUAUAGCCUGGUGAUGCAUACAGUGGUUGGGAUUGAGGAAUUCAGCACGUCACCAGUCCGGGUUUUGACAACGUUCGUGCUUAGGAUGCUGGCAUAAUGGCUUUAAUUGACCCGUCUUGAAACACGG